rnacentral:rRNA from 1 species
AUGGCGGCGCCCAACCGGAGAGGUGGCAGCGGCCGGAAGAAGAUCGUCAUCCGCCGGAUCGAGCAGGAGGAUGCCCGGUUCGUCUGCUACUCCAAGCGCCGCCAGGGGUUCUUCAGCAAGGCCACGGAUUUGGCGGUCCUGACCGGCGCCCAGGUGGCCGCCCUCGCCUUCUCUCCCCGCGGCAGGGCCUUCUCCUUCGGCCACCCCUCCGUCGACUCCGUCGUGGAACGCUUCCUGGCGGGGGAGGCUGCGGGGGCUGGCGCGAGGGAGGAGGGCGCUGCCGACGACCGCUUGCUCGCGGGGGAGGGCGCUGCCGGCGAAGACGAGAAGCUCGAGAAGCUGCAGCAGGAGUUCGACGAGCUGCGCACGGAGCUGGCCGAGUUGAAGAAGCGGACCAAGCGCACGGACAAGGCCAUGGCGAAAGAGCGCUCUGCGGGGGACCAGAUAGCGGCUUGGUUCGACCCCAAGGCGCGCGACAUGGGAGACGAGGACAUGGCGGCCUUCUUCGCCGCGCUGAUGCAGAUGAAGGACGCGUCUGCGAUCGCGCCAACCAGGUUCUGCUCGAGGCGUUGCACGCCCACAUGA